CCAAGGAGAAAGGAUCUCUAUCUGAAGAUUGCUCCUCUUAGAGUCCUUCUGUGAGCCCAGGACAUGGCAGAAAGCAGUGUAAUGCUACAGUUCAGCAGUCAGCACAUCAACUCUCUUGGGAGGAAAUCUUUAGAAGCUCAUAGAAUGAAAGACAGCUCCUAAGUUGCAUGAGAGGGAUUUUAUCUGAAAAAUGAUUAGCAGAACAAUCCAACUGCAGUAUGUGAUUAUUGCACAAUCAAUGUAAGUGGGAGUAUCUUUUUAGAAAACGGUUGACUGCCAUAAGAAGAACCCUGAGGAGGUGUGGUAUAUAAGCCUGAGAUGCAGUUAUGAUUGCAAAACCUUAAGAUCUACAAUGUAGCACUGCAUUCUAACAGGGAAGACUGAAACUCCAAGGAUGUUGAUGGCUGCAUGCCAUAGUGUCUCAGGAUUGGUAAAUACUGAUACAGAAGGAAACAACAAGGCAAAUGAGCUAUCAGUGAAGAACAGGAGUUUCUGUGUGGAUGGAUAUUUAACUGGGGACGAAGAAGGUGCCAUUUUACUUGUUUGUGGAUGCUCCAGGAUACACUGAAAAAAACAAGGUGCUCCCUACUUCACCAGAAUUGGUAUCUACAGAAAUUAGGGUGGGCUUUGUCAUGCUGCUCACUGGAGAGGAAAAUACCACCUUUUUUUGUAACUCAUAUGGCUAUAGUCAAAUGAAGAUGCUUCCUGUAUAGUUUUGACAUUUAGCUUUCCUCUUAAAAACAAAUUCAUGAGCAGUGUCGUCUUUGUUUUUGCUUUUUUAGUGGAAUAAAUUUAUCACAGGAUUGGCAGAUAUAAAAAAAAAAAAACGACUGGUUUCCUCCAUUGCCCACCAUCACAGAAAUUUUAUAGAGUGGAACAAUCUGAAAACUUGUGGUUUUAGAGCUUAUAUUACAUGUACUCAGAUAAGAACAUGCUGUAUGUACCUUUAUAAGUUAGUGGUCACCUGUGAAAAUAAGAGUGUUGUUCUUUCCAUCUUCCUGUUGCUAUCUCUAUCUGUAGAUGUCAAUGAAAAUUUUUGUCAGGGACUAAGAAUAUUUUUGUCAAUCUGCUUGAAAAUCCAGCAAUAUAUAACCCUUGACACAAAGUGUAUUUGAAGUCUUGCUGUGUUUUUAGUCUAUCUGUGAAAAUACUGUUUUACUUUGUGUCCUUAUCAUUGCAUUGUUUUCUUAUAUAGCUUAUACAGUUUAUCACUUUUAAUGUCCCUCAGGAAAAAGUUCCAGUUCAUGCUUUCACCAGUAAAUCUAUCACAUUGAUUUUUAGAUUUGAUGAUAUUCAAAGUAAUCUUAUGUAGGAUAAGUGAAUCUAUUGAAAGGUAUUAGUAAUAAACCUAUUACUGGGAUAGAAUGACAUAAUUUAGGGUCCAUAAUAAUCAGUUAGAACCACUGUGUAUCACCUUUUGUAAAUGUUCACUAAUUUUCAUAAAAUAAAGGUGUUCUUCACUUCUGAAAACAUGAUCAGUCAUUUGAUAUCAUGUAAAUAUUGCCCGUAUAACUUCUGAGGUAAUUGUCAUGCAAUACUGGCUAUCAACCAGCAUCUGAAGUGACAUCAUAAGGGACAAAAUCACCCAAGAGGGAGUGAGUUGGCUUAAUGACAAUAUCAAGCUUGGUCAAAGUGCAGAAUACUCCUGAAGAUCUUACUGUUUGCUUGCCUGCACCAUAUAAACCUUUCAUCCCUGUUUUUGUAAGAAACAGGGAUGAAGGCUGAUAGGUGAGAAAUCCACAAUAACAAUUAAGAGAGGGCAUUUAUUGCUUGCUUACAGCUCUCUCAUUUUGCUUUGGCACUUAUUAAUCUUCACACUUAAAUACAUGUAAUAUAAGUAAUACUGAUGUAGCUACUUCUGUCCACCACAUCAGCAAUUAUUUCAAAGAGAAUUAAGAUGAGGGUCUUUCAUUUCUGAACUGAAGAAGGUAGAAUAUUGAAAAAUUCAGCAAGCAGUAGUAGUUACUAAUCUGGUUGUAUGUUUUUUCCAUUAUUAUGCCAGAUAUGAGGUUACACUUCUUAUUACCUCCUGUUUUUGACUUCUUUAAAGAGGCUGUUUGAAGAUUUACUCAACAAUGAGAAAUUUUUAUUGUUAAGUAACGUGAAAACAAGGCUGGUAUAAGUAUAAAUUGAUGCUGUUAUGUAGAUACCUUUUCCUAAGGAUUUGACACUGCUUUGCUGUGGUUUGUUGUUUUUUGUUUUACCUGGAGAGUAACUUUUCACUUUUUGCUCUUUUAUUUUUACGUGAGGACGUUUGGCCAGCAGAGGGCACUGCGCUAUAACAUAAUCCGUUUCUGUUUCAAAAUCUGAUAUGCUACUUCAACAAACUUUCAUAUAAAAUUAAUUUAAUAGUGUCUGAAUUUCCACAGUGUUAAUCUGGCAAGCAGCCGUGCUAGGAAAAUAUGCUACAGGUACCUGAACAAGAGUUUAAUGAGAAACCUAAUGAACCUCCAAAAACUGAACUUGGUAUUGUGGUUGUACUUUUUUUUUUUUGGAAAAGAGAUUGUCAGAAAUAAGUUACAAAGGAUGUACGAAGGAUUUGUUUUUUCCAGACAAAAGAAAGAUUCAUAUUUGUGGCUUUUGUUUAUGCAGAAAUGAUUAAUAUGGAG
ensembl:lncRNA